UACGGGGGGGGCAAGCGUUGUUCGGAAUUACUGGGCGUAAAGGGUCUGUAGGUGGCUUGCUAAGUCAGACGUGAAAUCCCUCAGCUUAACUGGGGAACUGCGUCUGAGACUGGCGAGCUUGAGUACAGACGAGGUAGGCGGAAUUGAUUGUGUAGCGGUGAAAUGCAUAGAUACAAUCAAGAACACCGAUUGCGUAGGCAGCUUACUAGGCUGUAACUGACGCUGAGGCACGAAAGCGUGGGGAGCGAACAGG
rnacentral:rRNA from 1 species